GGACAGUUUAUAUAUUUUGCUGCCUUCACUCAACCAAGUCCAAAGAUAGUAGAAAAAAUUGAAGUUGCUGCGCUUCUAUCUCCAAUACCACACUUGGAUCAUGUUAGUGCACCUCUGGUGCUUAGAUUGGUCAAGAUGUAAAUUGAUCAGGUGAUUCUGAGUUUCUUCUGCAUAUGUUUAUUCAUCCAAGUAUUUCUAGUCUAGAAAAUGUUCACUUUACUGUGAUACAUGUCUAAGUUGCAGUGACUCAAUGUCAUCCAUUUACACGUUCAUGUCUCUCAACAAUGGUGUUAAUUUUGUGUAGAUUACAUAAAAAUACUCUUGGUAAAUAUAUUCCACUAUCAGCAGUGCUUAUGUUGUGUAUGGCAUGCUAUAUCUUACCAAAGACCUUAUAUCUUUACAAAGAGCAAUGGUAGGUUGACCACCCCAUGUGGCAUACACCCCUUGUACCAGCAGAUGGGUGGAAUAAAAUUCGGUCACUCAUCAAAUAUAUCGAAUAAUUUCAAAGAGACUGCCUUUUUAACUUCAUCUAGAAAUUGCUGAACGUACUUUUAAAGUUUUGAUAUCUUGAAAGCAAUGAUCAUGUUGACUUCAUUUUAAGCUUGCAAGCAAAACAAGAUCUAUAUGACCCUAUUAUCAGUUUUUUCAAGUCGUUUGGGCAAUUUAGUAGUAUUUAAAGCUUGCUUCCUUCUACUAAGAUGAAUGUAAUAUAACAAUAUAUAGGCCCAUGUAUUAUAUUUACCCAUAUUGUCAUGUUAAAACAUUAAACAUACAGUGGAGUCUGUCUACUUUGAUCUUCUAUUUAUAAAUAUGGUGAUAACAGAUCCCACUGAAUUGGCUUAAAAUCUCUUAGGUAUUAGUAUUUAAUUAGUCUUUUGUUUCAAAUUGUUAUUCUAUUGGAACCAUAGAUUCCUUUUGUUCUUUC